rnacentral:lncRNA from 1 species
AAGGCCAUCACCUGAUCAGCUUCCUCUUGGGGUCCAGCACAUCCAGGACCUUCUCCGCGUAGUCCUGCUUCGCGGUCGUGAAGACCGAGAUCUGGGGAGGGGGGGGAGCAGAUAAAGGCCCCUCUCCGCCGGUGGCAAGGCUGGGGGACCGACCCCGGCGCCCAGAGGCUGCGGUUUAUGGGACUGCGGGUCCCCACGCCACCAGCCCCCGCGCAGGCUCCCCCGAGCCCUCCCCACCCCGACGCAGCCAUACCCUGCCCGGCUCUCUGCGGACCCCGGGGCAAUAUCGGGUUCGGGGGCUCUGGGUACCUCGUAGGUCUUGGAGAGGCUCUCCAGGAACUGCCGCACGUGGGGACGCAGCUUCAGGUGAACCUGGAAGGGGAGCAGCGUCUCCAGGCAGCCCCGGACCGGCCACCGGCACCCCAGGACCCAACACCCGGGUCCUGCCCAAGAGCAAGGAGCCCCGCGGACAGCGGGCGGGAGCCUCGGCCACCCUUUUCCCCGGCAUUUCAACGCCAGGGCUCCAGCUGGGGCAGGGACCCCCUUCUCCAUCCGGCUGGGAGGACGCGGGCGGAGAGACCGCAGGGCUCCUCACCACCAUCCGGCAGCCCCAAGACGCCGCCGCAGCUCUCCGUGCCCACCCCGUCGUCCCCGCACCCCGCUCGCCCGUCCCUGGGAGCGGGGACCCCCCGGUGGGCGACCCACCUCGUAGGCGUCUCCCUGGAAGGACGCGGUGAAGGUGGCCGCGGCGUCCCGCAGGCGGCCGGCCAGCACGGAGGAGCAGACCAGGGUCCCGUCCUGCAGGCGAUGGGGCAGGGUCAGACCCGGCCCCGGGGUCCCAACCAACCCCCCCCCUCCCCGGGGGUCCCCCCCCGGCUCACCAGCUCCAGGACGAGCGUGGGCUCCGGCGUGCUGCGGGUCUUCAUGGGGCCCCCCCGGCCGGGCGCGGGGGCCGGGGCGAUGGGGGGCAGCCUGGCAGGGGGGAGGCAGAGGGUUGGUGGUGCAGUGGGGCUGGGGGGGGGUCACAGCCACCCGCUCCCGCGUACUCACAGGCUGGGGACGGCGACGUCCUGCUGCUCGUCUGCGGGGAGCCCCGAGAAGUAGAUGCCCCCGGGGCAGGGCUGCGGCGGGGGGUGCGCGGGCCCCCGGGCGACGCUCCUUGUCCGGGCAGGCGUUGGGGCGCCCGCGCGCUCCCCCCUCUUCCCCGAGCGCGGAGGGGUGGACGCCGGCUUGCAACGCUCCGGAUCGAGCCGCGGCUUGGGCAGCCGGCNNNN